rnacentral:sRNA from 1 species
AAGCAGGGUUUACCUCUAGCUGCCCCAACUGCUUGCUGAAGCCGCCCCUGGCUGGAUGAGAACGGACUUCUGCCGGACGCUAGACAAACGCUCACAUUAGGACGUUGUUAUCGGGGCCCAGGAAGGCUGAAAUGCUAGUCCAAGGCUGGGCAGUGGGCAUUUGUCAGAAGCAUCUGAUUAGCAUCUGGAGAAGACAGAAGCCGUCCCAUCAGCUGGGCUGGUUAACAUCAGCAAGUCCAGAGCUCGGUCCACAGGUGAGCCCUGGAUGGAGUCUGCCAGCCAGACCAAGGACACCAUGGGAAAAGAAAUUCCAAGCAAAGGAAAACAGAAAAUUUGGGCCAGCGGAGAGUAAGCCCUGUAAAAAUGGGACAGGGUAAUGGCAGAAUGCUUCUUGUUCAUAUGCUUAGAGAUAUGCUAAAAUCUAGAGGAGCGAAGAUAAGUCAAAAACAGUUCUAUGAUUUUUAUAGAAGAAAUUUGUCCCUGGUUCCCCGAGAAAGGUAGGAUAAACUUACAGACAUGGGGGAAGGUGAGGGAGAGGGUAAAGGGUACUACCCAUUCAACUCACGGUCCUCAAAAUAUUCCCAUGGAUGCCUGGCCUUUGGACUCUAGAGAUACUUUAGAUCCCAGACAUGAAAGUAUAAAAUUAGGAAAGAAAUUGGAAGGCACAUAUAGUGAAAGCCAGAGAAAAGACGAAACUGUUCCGUCUGCACCUCUUAUUUAUGAAGUUUCAGACAAGACAGGGACAAUGAUGAGCCCCUUGAUCCCGGAGGCAAAAUUGAAUUGGAGGAUGUCUUAGUCAGGGCUUCCAUUCCUGGAUCUCCUUGGACAAGGGGGUCAUCUUACAGUAAGACCAUUUCCAGUGCAUUCGGUGAUGGGAUUCUUGUUUGCUUUGUGAAUAGUACGGAUGAUGGGUGUGUUUCUUGUUCACUCCGAUUUGGAAGAAAAACGUUUUACAAACUGUAACUCAAAGCACGGAGACGGGAAUGUCUGGACAUUAUGAGGAAUUUGCCCCUGAUCCUCAUGAGAUACAACCUCGUGAAUCUGGACCCACGGAGAAUGUGGAUCGGGCAUUUAACAACACUGUUAGAUGGAAAGAAUGUUCAAAUCAACCCCCAAUGCGGUUUAAUGAUUCCCAUAAUAUGUGGAUUAUUGAUUGGGCUGGGGAUCAGUCAACCACUGGACAGAAGGAGAUGCCUACAGGUCUUUGGCUCUCAGAUUAAGCUCAUUUCCAAUGGCAUGUUUGGAAGGUAGCUAAAGCUCUCUAUGAAGUUACAUUAGAAACAGAUAAAAUUGGGACAGGAUCUAGAUUUCGAACAAGUGUUAGUGCAUGUAUUAAGGCUCCUAUUCUUUUAUUAAUUGGUCAGGUUAGAAUUACUUUUGUUUCUUCUAUGGUAUUUAAUGUAAGUUGUGUUCACUGCACACUUUCCAAUUGUGCUAGCAGGUUGGAAUCUGGUGUGUCUGUUAUGGUGCUCUGUCAACUAGCUUUUGUUUUAUUGCCCAUGAGCAUAACAGGACCUUGGUAUUCUGAAAAAAGUUUACAAAUAUUGGAAGAAGUGAGUCAGGCUUUAAGGAGAAGCAAGAGGGCAGUGGGCUUGAUCAUUGCUGGGAUAGCAGCUUUGGUUACAUUAAUAGCUAGCGCCACUGCUUCUGCAGUCGCUUUGAUGCAAGAAGUUAAGACGGCCACUUUUGUUAAUUAUUUAGCAAAAAAUGUUACUAAUGCUCUGUGUAUUCAAAAGGGUUUGGACAGGCGCUCGGAGAGAUGGACCGAUGCUCUUUAUGCUACAAUUCAAGUUAUAGGAGAGGAGAUUCAGAGUUUCAGAGUAAGAAGUCAUCUGCAGUGCCACACUAAAUAUCAAUGGAAUUGUGUCACUUCUAAAAUUCACAAUGACAGUCACUAUAAUUUGGAGAAAAUUCAAGGACACAGGGUAUUUGGCAGAGUUCUAACACCUCCCUGGACAUUUUAGCUUUGAAUACUGAGACUGAAUUUAAGGGAUGCUGCUCCUCUGAGUUUUGACGCUGUGGAUACUGCUGAUAAAAUUUUAAGGUCAGUAUUUCCAUCUUGGCCAAACCUCAAGGAUGGCUUAUAUAGUUUGAUCAUGUUGGCCCUUCUUGUCCUGGAAAUUCUUUUAUUCCUGCCCAUUUUGAUAAAACUUGCCUUUAACAACAUCAACAUUUUAGUGGCCAAAAUACAUGGCUUGAAACUUAAAAAUGUAUCCAGACAAAGCCGCUGGUUAAACAGGCUGGCAGUUAAUGACAGGUAAGAUUCUACACAGAGCCUUCCUAACAAGACAUAAAUGCGUUGCCUUGGAGAAUGCAUUUUCCCAUGUGGUUGCUGGGAUUUGCACUCAGGACCUCUGGAAGAGCAGUCAGUGCUCUUAACUACUGAGCCAUCUCUCCAGCCCCAGGAUAAUGCAUUUUCAACAACAGGUAAGGAAGGCAUUCUUGACAGAACAACCUAAGACAGAUGCAGUCUUGUUUAUGAAAUAAAAAAGAGGGAGAUGUGGAAAGCUUUUGGUUCCACUUCUAUGAAAUUGGCAAGAAUAUCUGACAUGGGCUAGAACCAGGAAGUAAUACAGCCGAGUUCCACUUCUAUGAAAUUGGCAAGAAUAUCUGACAUGGGCUAGAACCAGGAAGUAAUACAGCCGAGAAAUUCGUUCCUUAUAUCCUGAUUACGUAGUCACUAGAAACAGAGACCUCGGGACCUUUUUUUAAUGCCUUGCUUGUUCCUUGACUACUUUAUUUAUGCCUUCAAACUGGCCAUAUUCUAUGCAUGUACCUAGAAUAAUAUAAAAGUGGAUUGGAAAAAGUUAAACCCACUUCGGCACUUGUUGGGAUCAUACUAUAAUGUUGUCUACUUUCUUUUUUUUCUUUAAUCCUUGCUCCCUCCCAGUUGA